UUCGCGCAUUGUUGGCACCAUUCAGAUACAAAGCGCCAGUGGUAGUAUCGUGCAUUAUUAUUUUUUUUUUACGUGCGAUUAUGACACGAUAGCCGGGUAGUGUUUAGAAUCAGUAACAGCUAUAAGAUGCCAUAUACGUUAGAUAAUUGGCGGAAUUACGCGCUAGCGAAAGAUUAAAUAAAUUAUUAAUGCGUGUACUCUACAAUUUGAUAGGUAGUUACAUUAGUUAGCAACUGUAAUUUCUUAUAGUUCAGUGACGAAUAAAAUCUAAAAGAGACAGUCAGCAUCAUGUGAAACAUUAUGACAUUAUCAAAAGUACAAUGGUAUAAUGCAGUAUGCAGUUACCGGCUUGUUGUACGGUUCGAUUUUGAUCUAACCUAACUUUUUACCAUAGAACUUUUUUAACGGGGUUAUUCAGUUCUGCUGGGAUGCUUUGCCUUUUUUUAGCUACGAACAAUAUCGUAAGUUCGUUGAAAAUGUUAGUGUGCGUGUGCGUGUGUGCAACUUUGCGUGAAUUACAGUUCCGAUUUGACAUUGUAAACAUAACGACUUGACCUUACAAUGGCAAGUUGGACGACCUUGACUUUGGCAAGUAUACAAUGACCAAGUAAUUUGUAAACGUAUUUACUGUGGUACUGAAGUAGUUACACUUCUUAUGGCAUAUAUGUUUCGAAGCACAGGAGAACGGGAAUUUCAUUGUUCAGGAUUUUCAUACGUGCCG